GAGGGGAUGUGCAGAGGAAAAGACCAGGAAGAGCAGUAUCAGAUCAACAGCUGUUGCAGGUGUGUAUACUUAAAGGGGAACAACGGCCUCUUAAAAAAUCCUCCCAGCAUAUUAUGUUUUAUGGCUUAACUGGUUAGAUAGUAAAAAAAAUAAGGCGACCUAUAAAAACUACGUCAAUAGAUUUUUGUCGUCUAAUUAAGGCACGGAGGGGAAUAGUGUGAGGCGCUGUUCCUCACUGUAACUACUAUGUGUGUGCAUGCAUGCACGUACAGGAAUUGAGUGAGUGUGCAUGUGUGCAAACACAUUUUGACCCUUGCCCUUUUUCUUUUGCAGACGGCACACUUACAGCAGAGGAGGCUAACGGGCAGAGCAGCUCGGAUGUACAGUCGUUACUUUACUGGGAAGAGCACACACCUUUGGUGGAAAGCAUAAAAAGCAGAAACAGAGCAGAGCGAAUGGCACGUGUGCAGGGCUACCUCUCCCAAAGGGGGCAGCAUGUAGCAAAGGCUCAUUCCCACGACUCAGCCAAUGGCCAGAAGGUUUCUCAGCCUUUGUCAACUCUGUGGGGCCACUCCUCAGGCUUCUUUCACAAACAGCAAAGGAAACACCCUGCAGAGAGUCCACAGGUGCUCACCUACCACCAGAUUCCUCUGCUCACUCUGGACUGGAACAGUGACAAAGCCCGUAAGUUGGGGGCUGCUGACAGGGAUGACAUCCGGACUGGAGGAGCUAAAAUGAACUCGGCAAAAGCGCCGCCGGAAAAAAUGGCGGACACACAUCCCGUCAGUGACGCGACGGGGAUCUUUCGCAACGGUGCAGAUUAUACCUUCGAUAAAAAAAGCUCUGUGUGCAAUGUAUGGCAGGCGUUUGUUAACGGGCUGAGCUGUGCGGACCAGUCGGGUGUUCCAGAGUCGGAAUGGCUGCAGACCGCAGCGUUAGUGUCUCCCUCAAAUGAAAAAGGGCCCAAUGCCCGAUGUGCAGCGAGCAGUCACGAGCAUGAAUGUCCGGUGGGCACAGAUGCGCCCGCCACCUCGCACGCACACACCUCAGAUUCAUGUCAGCCGCUGUCAGAUACUCGCCAAAUAGCAACGGCCGAUGUCGGCGUGAACAGCGAAGACCACCGUCCGGCGGAGGCUUGUGUCGGCACCCCGAGGGAUGACACACAAGAUGCAUCCCAAAGGUCACAGACAAGCAGCGUAACAGACACUCCCCGGGAAUUCUGCGUCCAGGCGGCGACGCCUGUGUCCGAGGGCCGCGCUGACAGUUCAGCUGAGUGUCACGAGCGUGCGAUGAGGGAGCGAGAAAGAGAAGCAAGGGCAGAAGGAAUAGGAAGAGAUGGGCCCUCGGCACCGCGCGCGGCUGACUUUGUAACAAGCUCGGGGGAGUCGGGGGCAACAGACAUGACGGCAAGGCCAGAGUCUGAGAAUGCCACCGCGGCCGAUAAGAUCUGGCGGGGAGCGCGGCCGGAUGGGGGUUUUUCUCCGUGCAGGGACGGGGAGGUUAGAGGUGCUGCGCACAAUGCGAUGGAUGACACCCUGGCAUUUAGGGGGACAAUCCGAAGGGGGACAGGGGACGGGGAGAGGUUUGUCUUUUCUGCAUCCAGACAAGGAAUGGAGGAGAGGAGUGUGGAAAACAGAGGAGCUGCAGAUGAGGAGAUAUUUAGGCCACGGAAGACAGCGGAGUGCAAAAGCUCCCAGAGGUGUGCAGAGGAAAAGCAACAAGAGGAAUUCAGGCUGAAUCAAAACAGGGAAGAUCCGUUACAGGCAAAGGAGAGGGGAAAAAAGGAAAUAAGAGUUGCAAAGACAAAUGCAGAUGAAUCUAAUUCCAGCCAAACGUACGUCGGCCAAAGCCAAGUUAUGGCUGGGGAAUUCAUAUUGGAGGAAUCAGAGAGGCAAGAUGUUGCAUCAAGUAACAAAGACGUCGAAGUAUCCAAAAAGACAGAGGUGGAAGCUUGCUCUUGUACAGCAAUCAAUGAAAUAAAGACACUAACUGGUGUAGAAGAGGGAAUUAUUCAGGGGUUAAAUGAGGAACAUCAACGUAAUUCAUCAUGGAAGACGGGAAAUACGUCAAUAAUUUUGGGAGUACAUAAUAAACAGACAACAGAGCACCCAACAGUGACACAAAUGCAGGGAAAUGCACUGGAAUCUGAAACAGAUGAACAGGCUUUAGUCUCAAAUCAGACUGAGGAAGGAAAAUAUUUAAGUUACGAGGGAAUAAUUGCAAAGCAACUGGGAAUAAACCGAGCGCCACCGUGGAGACACGCGGUGGAAUCAAAGGAAAUUAAAAAGGUCUUUCAAGGUGACCAUGAUACAUUCAGACAUUCUCUAACAGAUAAAUGCAGCCAAAAGCCAGUGGAGGUGAGAUGGACUCAUUCACGGGACGAUACGAAGGGUCCCAACCAGGAUGGAGGCCGUGAAACGACCCCAGAAGAAGCAAAUUCGGAGACGAAUGUUGCAAAGAAAGACACUUCGACGGAGCCUGAACACCGACCUGAGACAUUAAAAAGAAGAAAAGAAGAUUUGAGUCGGAGAGACGGGGAUGAUAGCGCGAGUAUUGGAAAGCUGAAAAUAGAAGUACCGGGGGAGUUGAUGGGAAAUGCGGAGAUUGCUCGGGGGGAGACGGAGAAUGCAGCGGCUGAAUUGAAAGGACAUGAGAUGUCAGCAGAAGUUGAGAGCUCUUCACGUGUUGAAUAUAAAAAAUUGUCAGCGGGAACAAAAGACCCUAUUACAGCAGAAAGCGCCGCGGCCCUUGAGGCGAGAGAGUCUGGAUGGGAGGAGGUGUUCAUCGAAAGAUUUGGAGACGAUUUGGUCAGGAGGAUUUGGGGGGAGGCGUUCUGUCGGAAAGAACGGGCCGCUAAUAGAGACACAGAUAUUGUUGAUGGGAUGAGGGGGGAGCUGGCAGAUAUACCUGAUAUUGCACAAGAUUGCCGUCAUCCAUUUGAGAAAGACUUCAACGAUGCAUUUGAGUCAGGUGCCCUUUCCUUAACGCAUCUGCCCGCGGAUCAAAAUGUAAGUCAAGGCCUAGAGCCGACUCUAGCCACUAAGGGAAAUGCAUACCCGCCCGACGAGACACGUUCGUCACUCACCACAACGGCGGAACAAACUCGCUUCCUCUCAGCACCUCAGACAGAUUUGAAUUCAAGAGCUAAUCUCUGUGGAGAUUUCGGCCCCGUUUCAGCUGUUGGGAGCAGCCCGUCAUUGACUGAAACAGGCCGACCAAUAGAGGACUUGUCGGCCGCCCACGUGGAGGAUUUUAAUCCAUCGCCCCGCGCAUCUCACAAACACCUGAGCUCCGCCUCCGACAUGCUAAAAGAGACCCAUGGCGUUCCGUGGAGGAGCGUGUUAUACGCCCUCGGUCAAGUCACCAGACUUCUAAUCUGCAUCCUCUUAGUUGCUGGGUUCUCCCUCAUCGUUUUCCUGUCCGAUUUCCAAGCGUUCUUCGCGCUCUACGUGGUUUCAUCGUGCUGGUGGUUUUAUGAGUGGAAGCGACAUCGAGUGAUGAAAAGCAGAGGGAUGGUGGCAUAG
ensembl:lncRNA